rnacentral:lncRNA from 1 species
UUCAGCAGCCUUUGGGACUGUCCAUGUUAUCCUGCAGAAUUACCAUAAGAUUGUUUAAUCUUUGCAGAGACCACAGGCAGGUGACCCUGGAGAAGGUGCUGGUGUUCUCUUAUUCUCGGUUUCGCAGUCUGAAAUACUGAAUACUUCAGUCCCUGCUGCUGCCUUCCUCUGCAAGGUCAAGUGGGAGCUGAGGUCCCAUGAAAAGUGGUACAGGAAUUGCCGGGAGUCUAAUUCCCCUUUUUUGGAGGAGAUCAGUCCAUGUGCUCCCAACAGUCCUCUGGAGCUCCCUUCCCUCCUGGCUGAGAGUGACCCAGAGCUGGGUGAAGCCACCUCAGGGCUGGGGGAUUCACAAGGGCUGCAGAUGUCCUGGCUGCUGAGCAGCUGGGGGAGAAGGAAGUUCUUCCUUCUGAAAUCCCAAUGGAUACAGUACCCAGGGCACUGUGAGAAAAUCCUGGAUUUAUGGAUGGAGCAGUUUCCCCACCACAUGAACCCCAGAGCUGACACAUGUAGAAAAAGGCUUUCAGCGCUGGGUACAAGCUAGAAAUAAUGGGAGGUGAAGCUUGUCCCUGAGAAAAGAGCCUUAAAAUAAUAAAGUGUACACUGGAAAGGGGG